GCGUGUGUGGAUAUAGUCCAUGUUUUCUUGUUACUCGUUGUCAUUAAUGUUACGUGAUUGUUUUGCCGUGUUUCUCAAGUUCCGUGAUUAUUAAUUAAGUUUCUAGUGUUGCCGACCUCAGACUAUUAUCUCGACUAUUCUCUUGCUUAUGCCCAUUUGGUUUUGUUUGCCUGCUCUUGGACUGUCUACCCGUGUACCAAAUCCUGUUAAGUAAAACAUUUACCCUUCCAUCUACUGCUGUGUUUUGAGUCGUGCGUUUUGAGUCCUGCACAUCACCCUCAAUUCGUAACAUGGCUGGCCUCAACUUCGAAUAUGCAGAGUUAUUUGGGUUGCCCGUAGCUGGAGGUCUCGCAAGUCACGAUCAACUGCUGCAUGGACCUAUAAUCACGCACCAAUAUAUUCGAUCUACAACACCCAAUUUAUAUUAUCCUAUCGAUGGUGCCCGGCCUACAUCGCAGUAGUUAUAACACUGGACCCAAUACAAACUCCGCAAUAACAGCGCUGGAAGAACUCUAGGACGAUGUGGGUGAACCUGGGUCGUACAUGAGCCAACUACUGGGUCCUAAUCAACCACGGCGAGUGUCCAUGAAAAGACUGUGCACGGAAUCAGCCAACACUAAAUCGAUCAAGAAUGUUAACACAGCCAUUGUGUUUGACGAGCUGGUGCUGGACAUCCAACUAGCUGAGGUGGUUUGUGGGGCUAGUGACACAGGGGAAUUGCCAGACCAGCUGACCAGUAUCUGCGCUUGGACAGACAGCGAUAACCGAUUGGGAUCAAGCGGGGUUCAUCUGUGACACCGGAGCGGUCACACCUGAAACAGCAGCAGGCGAGAACGAUCAACAAAGACGUGACGGGGAGCUUAACAACGUUGGUGACUCAGCAGUGGCUACGCCGGAAACAUGGAAACACGUCAGCCUACAGACAGCUAUCAACGAUAAUUCUGGACUUGUACCAUGAUCAUUCUCAACAAACAGCGGGUCCCAACACACAGACCCAAGCGAUUGAUCAGAGGUAUGGGCAAUGCAUUAUUGAAAAUGGUGAUGUGGUGGGUGCAGCUAGUACAAGGCGUUUGAAUAGAGUUAGCAUCACGCGUGAGAUAUCUAACCCAAGAAAUACGUAGCAUAAAGACAGCUGUAAAUGGGGGGGGGGGGGGGGGGGGGUCGGGGUCUGUUUUUUCCACAGGCGUUACGGUGCAAACCCAUGACAGUGACGCGAUACGCUUCCAUCACUUUGAGUGGGCGUGUUGUAACGUGUGGAAAUAGCAUUUUCAAACUGUCAGAGACGACACCAAACAUUCUGAUUGGCCGCUGAUUGGUCGCUCAUAACGGUGUCAUGGGUUUCCACCGUUAUGUGUUAUUGUAUCGUGUUUGGCUAUAUGUGGUUUUUUUUUUAUUAUUAUUAUUUUUUUUUAUAUCCAAGCCAGGGUAACAUAAUUUCCAUGAGCGAAGAUAUCCGACAGCUGAAUUUAAUGCUCGACGGAUGAUGAAAGUGCAGUCUAAUAAUGUUGUACACGGGGGGCCUCAAUGAACAUGGUUCAGUUGAUGGUCGUGCAGGUUCUGACGUUGGUAAUAGGUUAGGCAGGCGUGAAGAUAUCCGACAGCUGAAUGUAAUGCUUAAUACAUAUUGGUCUGAUAACACGAAUCACAUAGCCCCGUAUGAUAGACAUACAACGGAUGAUGGAAGUGCACUGUAUAAUAGUGUUGGUACACGAGGGGCCUCAAUGAACAUGGUUCAGUUGAUGGUCGUGCAGGUUCUGACGUUGUUGGUAUGAUACCCGUGAGUGGCGAUAGAGCGUGUCUCAACCCUGUUUUAGAUGAUAGGCGCAACAGACGGGGUGCAGAUAUUGCUGUGCUAGGUGAAGCUGUUGUACCAUCGACUAGUCAGUGUUUCCCCUACCGUUAUAUUAGGGGGGCGCCCCGCCCCCCCAACGGCACCCCCCGCCCCUCCUGGAAGGUCAAGUUAAUUUUGUUCAAUUUUAUUUUCUAUAAAGCGCCAGAUCACAAUGGAAGUCAUUUAAUAUUACCUUUCCUAUAGAACAGGUCUAUAGCUUGUUGUUUUAUUAAACAAAAUAAAUAGCCUUAUGUUUAUCUUAUUUACACAACGGCAUGUAAUUUCUGUCUUUCUGUAAUUUCUGCGAUUACAAUUCUCUGUAUCACGCAUGGGGGAGUUCCGCCACGAUGCGCACAAACACAGACACGUGCGCGCACACACAGGUGAGCACGCUCCCACCAGCGGACAGAAUUGGGCUUAAGAAUGAGUGCACAGCUACGGACACUUAAGCUUUAAAAAACACAUUUCCAGGCGUUCAUGAAUCCAGCGAUAUUUUCCUAGGUAGGGUCGAGAAAGAGGCCUAAUGGGUGGCUACAACAGACGUGGAAACAGAACGUACGCCCAUGUCCGCACCGAAAAUUCAGAAAUAGAUCUGGCUUCCAUUUUUUAUCAUUUUCCGCGAGUUGUGCGUGGCCCUUUUUACAUAGAGUCUGGUAAUAAAUCUAUGACAUGUAAUGAACAUUAUUUAUUUUGCUGUGAAUAAUGAAGGAAGCAAUCAGGGGCGUUUCUAGGAUUCAAAGAAAGGGGGGGCUUAGCCCCAAGGGGAGUGGCAUGUUUGCACGCGGCAAUUAUAAUUUUUUUAGGCCUAUAUGGGGCCGCGGAUAUCCAUUGUUUCAGACAGUUCAUAGAUUGGUUUAAUCAGAAAGAGUGUGAUUUUGCUCUGUAGUUUUGCUUGCAUUCAGUAUAUGAUAACACAAGAGACAGAAUGACUGGGUCAUAGUGAAAUUUGACAACACAAAUAUACCAGCUGUGGUGAAAUGACCUGUUCUGAGCUGUCCUGUGGGUAGCUCUUCAGCUUAACCUGUCUGGGCCCUGUGUCUUUUUCACCUAAAUCAUUAGUUGCUGCAGCUGCUUGGUCUGUCUCUUCCUCUCUCUGACUCCUUGCCUCAGCCUCUCCUUCUGCAUGAC
ensembl:lncRNA